CGAUGGAUAGGGGGAACUGAGAGGUUUAUCCCCCCACACUGGUACUGAGACACGGACCAGACUCCUACGGGAGGCAGCAGUGAGGAAUAUUGGUCAAUGGAGGCAACUCUGAACCAGCCACGUCGCGUGAAGGAUGACGGCCCUACGGGUUGUAAACUUCUUUUAUACAGGAAUAAAGUGAGUCACGUGUGACUUUUUGCAUGUACUGUAUGAAUAAGGAUCGGCUAACUCCGUGCCAGCAGCCGCGGUAAUACGGAGGAUCCAAGCGUUAUCCGGAUUUAUUGGGUUUAAAGGGUGCGCAGGCGGAAGAUUAAGUCGGCGGUGAAAUUUUGCAGCUCAACUGUAAAAGUGCCAUCGAUACUGGUUUUCUUGAGUGUGGAUGAAGUAGGCGGAAUUUGUGGUGUAGCGGUGAAAUGCAUAGAUAUCACGAGGAACUCCGAUUGCGCAGGCAGCUUACUAGGCCAUAACUGACGCUCAGGCACGAAGGCGUGGGGAUCAAACAGGAUUAGAUACCCUGGUAGUCCACGCAGUAAACUAUGAUUACUCGCUGUUUGCGAUACACAGUAAGCGGCUUAGCGAAAGCGUUAAGUAAUCCACCUGGGGAGUACGUUCGCAAGAAUGAAACUCAAAGGAAUUGACGGGGGCCCGCACAAGCGGAGGAACAUGUGGUUUAAUUCGAUGAUACGCGAGGAACCUUACCCGGGCUUGAAAUGCAUCUGACAGGAGCAGAGACGCUCUCUCCCUUCGGGGCAGAUGUGUAGGUGCUGCAUGGUUGUCGUCAGCUCGUGCCGUGAGGUGUCGGCUUAAGUGCCAUAACGAGCGCAACCCUCAUCAUUAGUUACCAUCAGGUUAAGCUGGGGACUCUAAUGAGACUGCCAUCGUAAGAUGCGAGGAAGGUGGGGAUGACGUCAAAUCAGCACGGCCCUUACGUCCGGGGCGACACACGUGUUACAAUGGGUGGUACAAAGGGCAGCUACAUGGCGACAUGAUGCUAAUCUCCAAAACCACUCUCAGUUCGGAUCGGAGUCUGCAACUCGACUUCGUGAAGCUGGAUUCGCUAGUAAUCGCGCAUCAGCCACGGCGCGGUGAAUAAGUUCCCGGGCCUUGUCACACCGCCCG
rnacentral:rRNA from 1 species